GGUUUUAUAGUCAAUAAAUGAUAUUAGACUGCAAUUCUAAAGUAGUGUUUCACUAAAACCU
rnacentral:tRNA from 1 species